AAAAACUACUAGUGAACAAACAUUAGCUGUUUCUCUGUAGAAAUAGACCAUACUCACUAAUAUUAUUCCACCAUUUCCUUCUUUUACUUUGCAUUUUUAUUUACUACAAUGCACAAGCCAGACACGCAUACUUCUCCCUUAAACUACAACUUUCAAUACAACACGAAGACAUAGCAGAGGCCCCACAGCACACAGAGCUGAUGGCCAUUCCCUGAGGCCCUAUGAGCAGCUCCUGCCCCCCAGCUGUCCCUCUUCACCUGAUCAGCACCCACCUGACCUUCCCUGUCUGCACACCUUCUUAACCCAGCAGGGGGCACGUUCUUCUCAGGAAACCUUCUGUGGUUUCUCGUUCUCUUCUAGAUUAACAGUUCCUGAGGAAGCUGACUAAAGCAAGGCUGCUUCAAAUUGUUUAGUUGGCUUUCUACCCUCACUUGGCAGUUACUGAGAUUCAGCAAGUGUCAAUGAAUGUUGUGGGUGCAAGCUUUUCAUCAUGGAGGAAUUCAGUGAGAUACCUUUGCUUCCAGCACACUUUCAUGUCAGACUGCUGCCAACAACAACAUGCAAUGGAAUAUUGGUGAGAAAGUUCAGCUUUUACUGUCAUACCACACCAUCCACUUGUGACACUGUGGGCCAACAUAAUAAAACAGGAGGCUGCUGCCAAUGUAGAAUGGAUAGCUCAAACAAUGAAUAACGCAUAAUAAAAACGAAAAGAAAAUAGAAUUCUAAAAAGAGCUGUAGUGGCUGUGGAAUCAUUGUGUAGAACAUAGCAAGUUAGUAACAUUUUUUGAAGAUUACAGUGGUUGUGUUUCAGAUCUAUUCGCAGCACUUGUUCCAUUUUCUGGGAAUAUUUUGUUCUUUCUCCAGCAUAGAGUGCUUAUUAAAUUCCUCUUAUUUCCACUGUUCUUCUCAUCUGUAUUUCUGUGAUGAACAUAAGUUUUUACAAUACCUGUAAGUGUUUGACUUAGGGAAUCAAUGAAUCUAGGUAGAAAAUGAGCUUUAGGCACAAUGAGAGCACUGAAGUUAAAGAAGAGAUCUGAUGAAGUUUGAACUCAAAGCUCUGCCUCAAUACACGUCCAGAACUGCUUUUGGCAUUACAGGCUUCCUGGUGCGUAUCUCACUUCUAAGCUUUGAUACUUACAGUAGCCAUUUUCCUACCUAAAUCUAACGUAUAUGAUCAGUAAGUGCUAUAGAGUACACUAAAGUCAUGCUGACAGGAGUAGGGUUAUGCACAAAACCCAGAAAUAUUCCUAAUACAAGAUCCCACUGCUGUUUCUGAUUAAGUCCCAGCAUUUGUCUAGAGAGCAAAAAAUCAGACCUCUUCUGUCAGUUGAGUUUAAAAAUCUCAUUUUUUGUUUAAUGUUUCUGAUUGCUGUGAUCAGGACAGGGUUUUUAUUUAAAAGGACCGAGAUGUCUCUGCAAUAUGAUAAUGAUGAGAAAUUGAUAAAAGUUUUUUUAUAACACAGAAAAUGUUAGAUAAAAGAGGUAAAACUUUUUCAAAAUCCAGUUGCUACAUCAUACAUGUGGAGAGUAAAACCUUUUUUACAAGGUAAUAACAGAACUAGAAAAUGCUUCUGCAGGCCAGAGCUGCAUGACAGCUCCCAGGAAAGACUGGAAGCAAUCCAAAGCUAAUUUUGAAUGUGAAAUACCCUCAUUGACUCCAGAGUUUACCGAUAGACUCAUUGUAUGUAUAAAGUAAUUCAGAUACCACACUAUUGCUAGGAGUACAAUAGUUGAAGUGGUAUGUCAAGAUCUCAGUAAGUAAUGCUUCUGUGCAUAGUGUAAUGUUUAACUGUAUAAUGAAGUCCAGUGUAAUUUUAAAUUUUCUUGUUUGCCACACAAACAAGUGUUUGAUUUCAAAAUAAUGCUAUUAGGAAUAAAAAAGUAAAACUGUGAAGGAAAUAUUCCCUUUUUAGAAUAUUAGCUUAUAUCAUUUAAGCACUUCUGAGAUAUAAUUUGUACUGGUUUUGUGACAUUUAGCUUUUUUGUCAUGCAUUUAAACUCUAUUCAUAAUAGUGUAAUGAUGGUGUACUAUUCCUGAGCACCUCAAUGAGUUGAAUAUUUUUGUCAAGAAUGACUGCCAUAAAACAUGGGAUGGCUAUGGAGAAAAAUAACUUUAGGAAAAGUUCCAAAAGUUCCUAUUGCAUCUACUACAGGGAGGUAAAGGCUUGCCUUUGCUGUAUAGGCUUGUUGUGCAUUUCUAUUUUCUAUGAGUAGCACUUCUUCAAGGGAAGCAGUGUAUACCUGAAACAGUCUUUACUGGUCAUUCUACUACUAUGUACUUCCAUAGAGUUGUUUGGGAUGCUGCCAGAAAUGUAAGAGAAUUCUUUACUGCUUUUGUAGACAUACAGACAAUGGUAACACAAUAUUCAAAACAACAUAGUUUAUGUGGUGAUCUGGAUAAUAGAAGUCUGAAUCACUGUUGGAAACGAUAUGCAAGGGGAGUUUUGGAGAACACUGCCAUGCAAAAACUUAUCAAGGCUUUCCACAGAAAGAGGAGCCCAAAGGAGUAAGAUGAAAUAUUACUACAUGAUGCAUUGAGGAUGACAGGGUUUUAUGGCUCAUAUCAAGAAUAAGAAAAAUGACAGCAACUAAACAUAAAAAGCUGAUCUCUGAUGACUGGCUGCAGUUUUAAAUGAAACAUACUGAGACAUAUCAGUGCAAAAGAAUAGAUGGAUGGCAAGGCUGUUAAAAUUCUAUUGUGUAUACGAAGUUGAAUUAAAUACUGUUUCUCAGUUUGAGUCCCACAAAAUGUUCUACAUUGAUACAUUCAGAAUGUCAAACAUUUUCAAAAAACAUUUGGGCAAAUGUAUCUCAAAAUUGCAGAGAAAGAACACUUGAAAUUUUUUAAUGUAGUAGUAUGCCUGCAAGUUGCUUCAUCUUUGAAAUGUUACAUUCUCCUUCAGUUUCUACCCAUGUUUUACUUUUUAUUUUGUGGGAUCUGACUUUCAUUACUACUUUUCUUUUUUAACUUGUUUCCUAUUAAACACUGCUUUUAUUUGAUGCAUUUCUCUUAAUUAUUCUUCAGGAAGAUUCUCCUGAGCAAUUAUGUCACACUAUACACUUCCAAGGAAGAGGUUUAGCAUACAGCAUGAGCCAGUGUUCUCCCCUUUCUCUUCUCUUUGGCUGUUACAUUUUAUUGGUCUUUCUGGCAGUUUCUCAGAUGGACAAUUCAAACAAAUAGGGUUGGGUCAUUGCUACAAGAGGGGUGUUUGUGUGCAUGCACACAUUUGCAUGCUUCACUUCAUUUGACUGUGCGCUUGUCUGCUGCAUACUUGGCCUAAACUAGACAUGAUGGGGAAUACUGGACUCUUCGCUGGAUCGGUAGUUACUGGUUUUUUGUGUUGCUUUUUUUUUUUUUUUUUCCCUGGACCAUUGCAUUAAAUUGAUGUUCAGAGAACUGCAAAUACUGUGAGCUAAAGCAUGAUAAAAAUAGGGAACAGAACAGUAGAAUGGAGUAGAGUAGGGAAUAAGCUCUUAAGUUGCUUACUGAAUCUUCUGGAACAUCAAGAAUUUGGAGGAGGCAUCAGAAAUUAUCUAAGCAGCUCUGGCUGUUGGUUGUCAGGAAGAGUAGUACAGCCUCCUACUUGGAUUAAUUCUACCAUUUAUCAUCAGGCUCUAAUUCAUGUCAUGAAAUCAGCAGAGAUUUGCCUAUGAGUAUCUUGAAGAGAUGAACCUAUGAAGAAACUCAGAUGGAGCCAGUUAAGUAUUUUGUUUGAUAGUUUUUCUUUGCCUUAAGUAUUGAAAAAUAAACUGAUGUAAAAAGCAUUUUGUAUCACUGCAGCAUAAGAAAACUACUUUUACAGAUUUCACGGAUGUCAACUCAGGUUCUGUCAAGUCAGGUUGGAUUGUGUCAGUCCCACUCUGUUUCAUAACAGGACAUGAGCAAUGCAAGGUGACAUUAUGUUGCAGAUGGGGAAUAAUAUCUAAGGCUUCCUCAAACUCACAGCAGAAUAAAUGCCAUUUUUUCACAAAGCAGAUGGAUACAGCAGAGAAGGCUUUCAAACAGAAACAGCUCUGCUGAUGUCCUUAGAACUGUUUUUCUGCUCUUUACAUCAAUUGCUACACACUGCAAAUAAUGCUGUUCCAGUGGUUCUUGAGAGCUUUUUUGCUAUUUAUUUGUCUUUAAGGUAAUCCUGUCAAUAUAUAUAGUACAGAUAGGAAUAGAUUUUUAAACCAAACCAAACUGCUACGGUUACCUGAAAUGCUGUAGUAAACAGCUAAUUACACUUUUUCCUUUCCUUACACAAUAAUGUAUCCUCCCAACUGGAACAGCUUUUUCAGAUGAUAUACCUGAGGAUGAUGUGGCUGCAGCAUUUUUAUCAGCAAGUCGCUUCUAAAAAUUUCCUUCCAUACUUGUAUCUUUUCCCUUCAUUUUUCUAUUUCAACUUUUAACUCAUUAGUUUAAAAUAAAUUUUUAAAAAUAUCUAGGAAUCCUUAUGAGUGCUUAGAAUUCUGAAGUGUUUUUACUUUUUUAUGCCAUGGUUUCAUUUUCUUUGCAAGGUGUUUUUAAACUAAGAAAUGCAGCCAUAGAAACAACUCAGUUGCUCAUUUACUCCUUGUCCCUUCAUAUCUUUAUUCUUUUGUUUCUGCAUGCACACCAUUAGCUGGCUGUAGUCUAUCACAUGCAAAACAGCAUGUUUCCUAGUUCUUGUUCAGUAAUUAUUUUUGAAUCUUUAAUGUAAUCUAUAUCUCUUAAUUUUUUUUUGCAUUGCUCUCUCUUUUUGUUCAUAAUUCUAUAUCUAUUGAGACACAAAUUCCUUUAUUUUUUUCUAGAGUAACCCCUGUAGUUACUGCAUGUAUUGUAGAAAAACAUAAUUAAGAUCUAAUGUAGGUUAUAGGCUUUCAUUGCUACUGUCUGUGAACUGUGGUUUACCUAAAUGUGGUAUAUAAUGCACUAAAAUAAUCCUUUGUGAGCCUGAGAAAUUCUCAUUUUAUGCAGCUGGUUUUCUAAUCAAUACAGAGCCCUUUCAUACUUAUUAUUUGAUUUGGUGUAUUCUGCAAGGAAUACUGUUUAAGUUUCCUAUACUUCUGGAUGUUAUCAGGAGUUUACCUUGGGAGGGAGCAUGACAGCCUGUAAUUCCAAAGCACCUGAUUUUUCUUGCCCUGUCACUUUGUGCACAUACAGGUGUCUACUGAGAAAGGAGCAUCCAGAAGGUAGAUCUGCCUAAGAACUGGUAAGAAGGCAAAGAAUGACAAGUGAAUGUAUUGGAUGGAUCCAGUGAAGUAUGAUUUGAAUGGGACAGGAUAGGCUUUUUCUGUUUCUUCAUUGAACAUCUAAUUGAUCCCUCUGAUUCUCCUUUAAGAGGAAUUCUUUCCCAGAGCUGCAAGGCCAGUCUCCUUUCAAGGUUAAUUGCAAAUGUGGUGAGAGACAGACUAGCUUGGGGCAGCUCCGGUGAUACUGUAAUUAGUCUCAGAAGGAAGGCAGAAGGGCAACUGCCAGGAAGAGUGUACCCAAAUCUAUAUUGUGCUCAAAGGUCUGCAUCAUAGGGGAGAUUUUGGCCAUAUUGCAAAUGUGGCACCUGUAUUAGUUGUCAGAGUAAGCAGGAGUGUGUGUGUGCUGCUAUGUGGGACAGCCAUGGCAGCCCACUUUUUCCUGUGUUUUCUUUCUCCACGAGUGUUUGGCGGCUUGGGGCUUUGCUGUGUAUUGUGUCACAGUGUGAAGCAUUUUUGAAAAUAAAUUAUUUCAAUGUGAGCCUAUUUACAUUGUGUCUCAAAUUGACUUGGGAGUAGUGAUUGCUUCAGAAAAUGUGCUCUUUGUGUUUUUUAAAAAAAUAGUAAUUAAAGUGUUGGGGUUUAAUUUGCAGUGCAACAGGUGCUACAGUUCUGGGCCAUUUUCAAUCUCUGCCAUCACUGUUGGGCAAAUUGACAUGGUUCAGUGCUGCAGCACAUUGUUUUCUCUUGCUUUAAUCUGUGUUGCUAUUCUUAAUCAAGUUGCAGUUUCCAGCUUGUUCACCGCUAUAUUUAUCUGUUAUGAAAUUCAAUAUUUAGUCUAUGGGAAGUCAAAAAAACAGGUAUACAGAUUUGAAAUCUGUCUCUUACUGUGUUUUUGAAACGUUGAUCCAGGAAUUCUUCAGGAAUUCUUUCUCAUCUUUCCAAGCUCAAAAAUUAUCUACUUAAAUGUCGAUUAAAAAAUGACUAUGUAAUAAAAAUACAAUGUGCAGUCAGCAUGCAGUGCAUUGUUUAUCUUGUGCCAUUUUUUCCUAAAUUAUAUCUGUCUCCACCCCCCUUUUUUCCACUUUUGAGCACUAAUCUAUUCUUCUGGUAUUGAGUCUUUAUUUGAUUUUUAUCAACCAUAUGUAACAAAUAGCAUGGAGAUAAUAGGAGUUUAAUAGAAGGAGGUUUUGGCUAUAGUUUUUCCUCUGAAAGCUGAAAAUAACUUCAGUAAGUGGAUGGUAGUCCCUGUUCAUAGGUUUAUAUCUAUGUUCCUUUUGUUCUAUGUGGUAGGUUUUUACCUCAUUUAUAUUUUCUCACAAUAUGUAUAUGUUCAAGUACUAAUGAAAAGUAUUCCUGUAAUUGGUUUUUUUUGUGCCAAUACCUAUUGCUAUCUCAAUUAUUACUUCCUCUAUAAUGAUGUAAAACCUGAUGUGUUUCACAUAACUUCAUUUUUAUGAACUCAUUUUCCUGCAUAGAAGAAUGGCUAAGUGGGUAGCAAAAGAGCUUAUUCAAGUUAA